UAAAUAAAAAUAUAUUCAAUGUGUAUGUGGAAUACAAGAUAUCUUAUCGCGUUACCUUCAUAAACCGGUUUAUGCUGAUUCAUUCAGAUUGCUUUUAUGACAAUAAGAUAAUAAGAACGUGAAAUUAUCGGAAUCAGUUAUGCAUCUGUGGUGAAACGAUAAAUGUAUGCCAGAAAUAGCUGUUCGCCACAUUUAAUACAGCUAUUGAAGUAGCAAUUUCGCGCGAUGAGUUCACUGGAUCUACCGCGUGUUUUGGUUACUAGCUAUGCAACGCCGACAACCGGCAUCGAUUUGCUUCGACCAAAAUGCAAUCUCACUAUUAUGCCAGGUGUUGAAAAUGCUCGGGAACAAGUACUAAAAGUUCUACCUGGACAUGAUGCUGUCUUUCUUGUCGGCCAUCAUAAAGUUGAUAGCGAGUUCCUAGAUGUUGCCGGUCCAAACUUGAAAGUCGUAUCGACAAUGUCAGCCGGUUACGAACACUUAGAUGUCCCUGAAAUUAAAAGAAGAGGAAUCAAGAUCGGACACACGCCGAAGGUGGUGUCGGCUGCAGUUGCGGAGAUAGCUAUAUUUUUAAUGUUAUCUGCUGCGAAACGCGCCUAUGAGGGUCGCGCGGCGUUAGAACAGAAUCAAGUAAAACCUGGACCGCAAUGGUUGUUGGGACAGGAAUUACGAGGCUCGACAGUCGGCAUCUUUGGUUUGGGAAAUAUUGGUCAAGCGAUCGUUAAACGAUUAGUGGGCUUCGAAGUGAAACGCUUUAUCUAUACCGGACAUUCGCGCAAGAAAGCAGGUGAUGAACUUGGAGCAAUAUUUGUAUCUUUCGACGAUCUUUUGAAGCAGAGUGAUUACCUUGUGGUUGCGGCUCCUUUAACUAAUGAAACGAAAGGACUUUUCGACGACAGUGUUUUUGAUAAAAUGAAAAAAACAUCCAUCUUCGUGAAUAUAGCUCGCGGUCAAAUUGUCAAUACCGAUUCGCUUGUAAGAGCUCUCCGUAAUAAGAAGAUAUUUGCUGCCGGGCUGGAUGUUACUGAUCCGGAACCGCUACCACCGUAUCAUGAACUUCUUAAACUACCUAAUGCCGAAAUUAUACCACAUUUGGGCAGCGCAACGAUCAAGACCCGCAACGAUAUGUCGACGAUUGCAGCACAGAACAUUCUUCAUGGUCUUGAGGGCAAGCCUUUAGUUUAUCCUUUAUAGCAAAUUUUCCUUGCAUAAUUUUGCUUAUAUGUAUUUCUUCUAAUGACAAAGUCCACAGAUUUGAGAUCCAUACUCAAUAUUUAUCACCCAUAAUGGACAACAGGUAACCAUCAGGCUUCUACUACUGCAUUUUUUAAACUACAUAGAAUAGGAUCAAUCUUAUUUUCCAAUGAUAAUAUGUGACCAGUAUUGCAAUUGU